rnacentral:tRNA from 2 species
GAGAAAGACAUACAAUAAGAGCUGCUAACUCUUAUAACUGAAAUUAAAACCUCAGCUCUCUCA